rnacentral:rRNA from 1 species
AUUGAACGCUGGCGGCAGGCCUAACACAUGCAAGUCGAACGAGUGGCGGACGGGUGAGUAAUGUCUGGGAAACUGCCUGAUGGAGGGGGAUAACUACUGGAAACGUUAGCUAAUACCGCAUACCAUCGGAUGUGCCCAGAUGGGUUUAGCUAGUGGGUGGGGUAAAGGCUCACCUAGGCGACGCUCCCUAGCUGGUCUCAGAGGGUGAACAGCCACACUGGAACUGAGAGACGGUCCAGACGCCUACGGUAGGCAGCAGUGGGGAAUAUUGCACAAUGGGCGCAAGCCUGAUGCAGCAAUGCCGCGUGUAUGAAGAAGGCUUUCGGGUUGUAAAGUACUUUGAGCGGGGAGGCGGUACCCGAAGAAGAAGCAACGGCUAACUCCGUGCCAGCAGCCGCGGUAAUUC